rnacentral:rRNA from 1 species
CCCUUAGACGUUCUGGGCCGCACGCGCGCUACACUGACCAGUGCAACAAGCAUCCGUCCUUGGCCGACAGGCUCGGGCAAUCUUUGAACGCUGGUCGUGAUGGGGAUAGACUUUUGCAAUUUUUGGUCUUCAACGAGGAAUUCCUAGUAAACGCAAGUCAUCAACUUGCAUUGAUUACGUCCCUGCCCUUUGUACACACCGCCCGUCGCACCUACCGAUUGAAUGGUCCGGUGAAGCCUCCGGAUUGGCGCGCACCUCGGUGCCGCCGAGAAGUUGGCUAAACCUUACCAUUUAGAGGAAGGCGAAGUCGUAACA